GAGUGUGGUCUGGCGGUGACAUUGGCGUCCCACUGAUUAUGAGAGCUGGUUCAACUGAUUUGGCUGACUGGGCUAGAAUCCGUCUACUUCCCUC
ensembl:misc_RNA 7SK 7SK RNA